CCUUACCCGCUGAACUUAAGCAUAUCACUAAGCGGAGGAAAAGAAACUAACUAGGAUGGCCUCAGUAACGGCGAGUGAAGCGGCCAGAGCCCAAGAUGGUAAUCUCCGUGCUGCGCGCGGCGAAUUGUAAUCUAGAGAUAAUCUGCUUACCGGGUGGUGGCGCAGAAGUGCCCUGGAACGGGCCGCCAUAGAGGGUGACAGCCCCGUAUGUGGUGCCGCCGCCUAACGAGCAGGUGUUCAAAGAGUCGGGUUGUUUUGUAUUGCAGCCCUAAGUGGGAGAUAAACUUCUUCUAAGGCUAAAUAUAUGUGGGAAACCGAUAGCGAACAAGUACUGUGAAGGAAAGAUGAAAAGCACUUUGGAAAGAGAGUCAAAAGACCUGAAACCGUUGAGGAGGAAGCGGUAGAGAUGAAUUCUACGGCAAGGCAUUCUGUUGGCGGCGUAAUCUUGGCUGGCUGGUCGUACGUCAAAGGCGGCCUGUUUGUCCUAGGUGAUGCCGGUUUCUCAGUGCUGAGUUGUGAGGCCGGAUGGGGUGACGCGAUCACAGAGGCCUGUCUGGCCUGGCUCGAUUCGUUGGGCAGCCAGGGAGUGCCGGUGGCCGCGUGGCCUGAGGGUGCUUUGUGCGAUCCGGUCAAAAUGGUCUUUACCGACCCGUCUUGAAACACGGACCAAGGAGUCUAACGUACACGCGAGUGUGCCGGUGGAGAAACCGACACGCGUAAUGAAGGUGAUUGAUGCCAAGCGUAAGCAGCAGCAUCGGCCGACCAUGAGCUUCUGCGAAAGGUUUGAGUACGAGCGUGUCCGCUAGGACCCGAAAGAUGGUGAACUAUGCCUGCGUAGGGUGAAGCCAGGGGAAACUCUGGUGGAGGCUCGUAGCGAUACUGACGUGCAAAUCGUUCGUCGAACGUGGGUAUAGGGGCGAAAGACUAAUCGAACCAUCUAGUAGCUGGUUCCCUCCGAAGUUUCCCUCAGGA
rnacentral:rRNA from 1 species